UUCCACGGAUUAUAAGCAAGGUGAAAAUAAAAAUCAAAAGCUGGUUGAACCAGCUUCAGAUUCUCACGGGUAAAACGCGGACUGCAAUUUGACUUAAAUGUCUAAGUGUUAUGAAAUAUUGACCCUUAUACCACCUAUAUAUAUUCUUUUUUUUUUGCCCUAUCUCUCUUUGGCAAGAGAUCAGCAGCAACGCAGCAGCAAGUUGCGACACUGGUUCAGUUCCGGAGACGUGAAGCUCUGGUUUGUUUCCGGCGUUGGUUUGCUUCCGGCGACGUGCGGCUCUGAUUCGUUUCCGACUCUGGAUCUGUUUCUCUGUUCCUCUCUUUCCGACUCUGAGGAAGAUGGACCGGUUGAGUUGCACGAACGUGAGGUUACGAGACCGAGGAGUGAAAAAGGAUUGAGAUCAUGUAUCGGGAUCAUGAAUACUGGGUUUUGAAGGGAUUCUAUCUAGGGUUUCGAGCGCGAUGGCGUUGAAUGCGCCCUACCUGUUGAAGCUCUUCCUAAGGUUAGUCCUCUCGUCACUACCGCCCCUCUGGUCUCAUCCUCUCUCUCUCUCUCUCUCUCUCUCUAUUGCUCCAUCAGAUUUGGUCUCAAACACAUGAUUUACUAUCUUCCUCGCUCUUCGAUCUGGCCUCUCUUUAGUCAAAUUGUACUCUUUUUAAUCUUUUCAGUUGCUAUUUUUGGUCUACUCUCUUUUCAAUAGAAUCUCAUUCACUUUGCUCUUUCUGUAUUUCAAUCUCAUUAGUUUCAAUUUUUUCAAUCUAUGUUUGUAUAUUGGUAGAACAUAAUUUUAUGUAUUUCUAAUGAACAUAUGUAAUUAGAAUAUGUUAUUCCUUUUUGUCUUGAAGGAAGAACAAUAGAAUCCUUGAAUUUUUAUUUUA